GAUGAACGCUGGCGGCGUGCCUAAUACAUGCAAGUAGAACGCUGAAGGAGGAGCUUGCUCUUCUGGAUGAGUUGCGAACGGGUGAGUAACGCGUAGGUAACCUGCCUGGUAGCGGGGGAUAACUAUUGGAAACGAUAGCUAAUACCGCAUGACAACAGUUAUUGCAUGAUAACUGUUUAAAAGGGGCAACUGCUCCACUACCAGAUGGACCUGCGUUGUAUUAGCUAGUUGGUGAGGUAACGGCUCACCAAGGCGACGAUACAUAGCCGACCUGAGAGGGUGAUCGGCCACACUGGGACUGAGACACGGCCCAGACUCCUACGGGAGGCAGCAGUAGGGAAUCUUCGGCAAUGGACGGAAGUCUGACCGAGCAACGCCGCGGGAGUGAAGAAGGUUUUCGGAUCGUAAAGCUCUGUUGUAAGAGAAGAACGAGUGUGAGAGUGGAAAGCUCACACUGUGACGGUAUCUUACCAGAAAGGGACGGCUAACUACGUG
rnacentral:rRNA from 1 species